rnacentral:rRNA from 1 species
AACGAACGCUGGCGGCAUGCCUAACACAUGCAAGUCGAACGAGACCUUCGGGUCUAGUGGCGCACGGGUGCGUAACGCGUGGGAACUUGCCCUUAGGUUCGGAAUAACUCCCCGAAAGGGGUGCUAAUACCGGAUAAUGUCUUCGGACCAAAGAUUUAUCGCCUUUGGAUGGGCCCGCGUUGGAUUGGCUAGUUGGUAGGGUAAAAGCCUACCAAGGCGACGAUCCAUAGCUGGUCUGAGAGGAUGAUCAGCCACACUGGGACUGAGACACGGCCCAGACUCCUACGGGAGGCAGCAGUGGGGAAUAUUGGGCAAUGGGCGAAAGCCUGAUCCAGCAAUGCCGCGUGAGUGAUGAAGGCCUUAGGAUUGUAAAGCUCUUUUACCCGGGAUGAUAAUGACAGUACCGGGAGAAUAAGCUCCGGCUAACUCCGUG